rnacentral:tRNA from 1 species
AAAGGUGUAGCUUAAGUGCUAGAGCACAUGCUUAGCAUUCAUGAGGUCAUGGGUUCAAUUCCCAGUACCUCUU